AGUGAACGCUGGCGGCGUGCCUAAUACAUGCAAGUCGAACGGAGUGGCGCACGGGUGAGUAAUAUAUAGCUAAUCUGCCCCUUGCUGGAGGACAACAGUUAGAAAUGACUGCUAAUACUCCAUAGCAAGGGAUGAGACUAUAUCGUAUAAGCUAGUCGGUGGGUAACGGCCUACCGAGGCUAUGACGCGUAACUGGUCUGAGAGGAUGAGCAGUCACGUUGACCCUGAAUCACAUUCCAAACUCCUACGGCAGUCAGCAGUAGGGAAUCUUGCGCAAUGGGGGAAACCCUGACGAACCAACGCUGCUUGAAGGAUGACACUUUUCGGAGAGUAAACGCCUUUUGUUAGGGAAGCGGUACCUAACGAAUAAGCACCGGCUAACUCCGUGCCAGCAGCCGCGGUAAUUC
rnacentral:rRNA from 1 species